CGCAGAGGGACCUGCUCAUCGGGCGCCUCCGCCAGCACCAGCUGCUGUGCGAGGGGAUCAUCCGGGACCAGCGGCAGCUCAUUCAGGACGCCGGCCUCCCUGUGCCCAGGACUCUGGAUGAGCGCUACGGCCUGUACGCGCGGGAGCUGGGCGGGGGCUCGCUGGACCGCCUGCUGCUGCUGCACUCGGCCACGGCCACGGCCAGCUCCCUGCCGGAUGGCUGUCCUGACCAGGACGACAGUAAGGGC